rnacentral:rRNA from 1 species
UCAGGUCUGGGACAACCACUGGAAACGGUGGCUAAUACCGGAUGUGCCCUUCGGGGUGAAAGGUUAACUGCCUGUUGAUGAGCUCGCGUCUGAUUAGCUAGUUGGUGUGGUAAGAGCGCACCAAGGCGACGAUCAGUAGCUGGUCUGAGAGGACGAUCAGCCACACUGGGACUGAGACACGGCCCAGACUCCUACGGGAGGCAGCAGUGGGGAAUUUUCCGCAAUGGGCGAAAGCCUGACGGAGCAAUACCGCGUGAGGGAGGAAGGCUCUUGGGUCGUAAACCUCUUUUCUCAGGGAAGAACACAAUGACGGUACCUGAGGAAUAAGCAUCGGCUAACUCCGUGCCAGCAGCCGCGGUAAUACGGAGGAUGCAAGCGUUAUCCGGAAUGAUUGGGCGUAAAGCGUCCGCAGGUGGCUAUGUAAGUCUGCUGUUAAAGAGUCUAGCUCAACUAGAUAAGAGCAGUGGAAACUACAAGGCUAGAGUGCGUUCGGGGCAGAGGGAAUUCCUGGUGUAGCGGUGAAAUGCGUAGAGAUCAGGAAGAACACCAGUGGCGAAGGCGCUCUGCUAGGCCGCAACUGA